rnacentral:rRNA from 1 species
UACGGAGGGAGCUAGCGUUGUUCGGAAUUACUGGGCGUAAAGCGCGCGUAGGCGGCUUUGUAAGUUAGAGGUGAAAGCCCGGGGCUCAACCCCGGAACUGCCUUUAAGACUGCAUCGCUUGAAUCCGGGAGGGGUGAGUGGAAUUCCGAGUGUAGAGGUGAAAUUCGUAGAUAUUCGGAAGAACACCAGUGGCGAAGGCGGCUCACUGGACCGGUAUUGACGCUGAGGUGCGAAAGCGUGGGGAGCAAACAGG